rnacentral:rRNA from 1 species
AGAGUUUGAUCCUGGCUCAGGACGAACGCUGGCGGCGUGCUUAACACAUGCAAGUCGAACGGUGACGAGGAGCUUGCUCCUCUGAUCAGUGGCGAACGGGUGAGUAACACGUGAGCAACCUGCCCCAGACUCUGGGAUAACAGCUGGAAACAGCUGCUAAUACCGGAUACGAGACGGAGAGGCAUCUCUACCGUCUGGAAAGCUUUUCGGUCUGGGAUGGACUCGCGGCCUAUCAGCUAGUCGGUGAGGUAAUGGCUCACCAAGGCGACGACGGGUAGCCGGCCUGAGAGGGCGACCGGCCACACUGGGACUGAGACACGGCCCAGACUCCUACGGGAGGCAGCAGUGGGGAAUAUUGCACAAUGGGCGAAAGCCUGAUGCAGCGACGCCGCGUGAGGGAUGACGGCCUUCGGGUUGUAAACCUCUUUCAGCAGGGAAGAAGCGAAAGUGACGGUACCUGCAGAAGAAGCACCGGCUAACUACGUGCCAGCAGCCGCGGUAAUACGUAGGGUGCGAGCGUUGUCCGGAAUUAUUGGGCGUAAAGAGCUUGUAGGCGGUUUGUCGCGUCUGCAGUGAAAAUCCGAGGCUCAACCUCGGACUUGCUGUGGGUACGGGCAGACUAGAGUAUGGUAGGGGAGACCGGAAUUCCUGGUGUAGCGGUGGAAUGCGCAGAUAUCAGGAGGAACACCGAUGGCGAAGGCAGGUCUCUGGGCCAUAACUGACGCUGAGAAGCGAAAGCAUGGGGAGCGAACAGGAUUAGAUACCCUGGUAGUCCAUGCCGUAAACGUUGGGCGCUAGGUGUGGGGCUCAUUCCACGAGCUCCGUGCCGCAGCUAACGCAUUAAGCGCCCCGCCUGGGGAGUACGGCCGCAAGGCUAAAACUCAAAGGAAUUGACGGGGGCCCGCACAAGCGGCGGAGCAUGUGGAUUAAUUCGAUGCAACGCGAAGAACCUUACCAAGGCUUGACAUAUACCGGAAACAUCCAGAGAUGGGUGCCCCGCAAGGUCGGUAUACAGGUGGUGCAUGGUUGUCGUCAGCUCGUGUCGAGAGAUGUUGGGUUAAGUCCCGCAACGAGCGCAACCCUCGUUCUAUGUUGCCAGCGCGUAGUGGCGGGGACUCAUAGGAGACUGCCGGGGUCAACUCGGAGGAAGGUGGGGAUGACGUCAAAUCAUCAUGCCCCUUAUGUCUUGGGCUUCACGCAUGCUACAAUGGCCGGUACAAAGGGCUGCGAUACCGCGAGGUGGAGCGAAUCCCAAAAACCGGUCUCAGUUCGGAUUGGGGUCUGCAACUCGACCCCAUGAAGUCGGAGUCGCUAGUAAUCGCAGAUCAGCAACGCUGCGGUGAAUACGUUCCCGGGCCUUGUACACACCGCCCGUCAAGUCACGAAAGUCGGUAACACCCGAAGCCGGUGGCCCAACCCUUGUGGAGGGAGCCGUCGAAGGUGGGACUGGCGAUUGGGACUAAGUCGGAACAAGGUA